rnacentral:tRNA from 1 species
AACAAUAACACAAAAUGUAUCAAUCUGCAAAAUUGACCUUGUAAGCCAAACCUUACUAUUGUUU